AUUGAACGCUGGCGGCAGGCUUAACACAUGCAAGUCGAACGGUAACAGGAAGAAGCUUGCUUGUUUUCUGACGACUGGCGGACGGGUGAGUAAUGUCUGGGAUACUGCUUGAUUUAGGGGGACAACUACUGGAAACGGUAGCUAAUACCGCAUAACGUCGCAAGACCAAAGAGGGUGAGCUUCGGUCCUCUUGCCAUCGGAUGUGCCCAGAUGGGAUUGGCUAGUCGGUGGGGUUACGGCUCACCUAGGUGGCUUUCCCUAGCUGGUCUGAGAGGAUGGCAGGCCGCGUUGGAGCUGGGACGCGGUCCAGACUCCUACGGUAGGCAGCAGUGGGCAAUGUUGGGCAAUGGGCGCGAGUCUGGUGCAGCGAUACGGCGUGUGUUGAGAAAGCCUUCGGGUUGUAAAGUACGUUUAGCGGGGAGGAAGCGAUUUCGGUUAAGACGUUUGCUUAGUGACGUUACCGGGAGAAGAAGCACCGGCUAACUCCGUG
rnacentral:rRNA from 1 species